CGGUGUUCAACUGGCGUGUCCGCGGGACGACCUGCCGGUGGGCUUAGCCCGCAAGGGGGGCCCAACUUCAAAUCCCAUCUCGGUGCUCUUCACUGAGUGUGUAGGUGGGCCGGCGCGUUUACUUUUAACAAAUUAUAGUGUUUAAAACAGGCUAAAACUUCUCCUGAAUACUGUGUGCAUGGAAAAAUGGAAUAGGACCUCUCUUCUAUUUUGUUGGUUUUCGGAACCCCCAGGUAAUGAUUUAUAGGAACGGAUGGGGGGGUUCGUAGUGCGACGUGAGAGGUGAAAUUCUUGGAUCGUCGCAAGACAGACAGAAGCGAAAGCAUUUGCCAAAAACGCUUUCAUUGAUCAAGAACGAAAGUUAGAGGUUCGAAGGCGAUCAGAUACCGCCCUAGUUCUAACCAUAAACGAUGCCAGCUAGCGAUCCGUCGACGUUCCUCCGAUGACUCGACGGGCAGCUUCCGGGAAACCAAAGCUUUUGGGUUCCGGGGGAAGUAUGGUUGCAAAGCUGAAACUUAAAGGAAUUGACGGAAGGGCACCCCCAGGAGUGGAGCCUGCGGCUUAAUUUGACUCAACACGGGAAACCUCCCCAGGCCCGGACACCGGAAGGAUUGACAGAUUGAGAGCUCUUUCUUGAUUCGGUGGGUGGUGGUGCAUGGCCGUUUUUAGUUGGUGGAGCGAUUUGUCUGGUUAAUUCCGAUAACGAACGAGACUCUAGCCUGCUAACUAGGCGUAUUUUCGACAUCUCAAAGGUCCGUCGUCCCGGCCCUCGGGUCGUGGGCGUGCGCGAUUUUUACUGUCGGCGUACUAUCAAUUCUUCUUAGAGGGACAGGUGGCUUCUACCCGCACGAGAUUGAGCAAUAACAGGUCUGUGAUG
rnacentral:rRNA from 1 species